rnacentral:rRNA from 1 species
AAAAUACGGGAGGCAGCAGCUAAGAAUAUUCCGCAAUGGACGGAAGUCUGACGGAGCGACGCCGCGUGGAUGAAGAAGGCUGAAAAGUUGUAAAAUCCUUUUGUUGAUGAAGAAUAAGGGUGAGAGGGAAUGCUCAUCUGAUGACGGUAAUCGACGAAUAACGCCCCGGCUAAUUACGUGCCAGCAGCCGCGGUUAAUUUUU